UGGGAGAUGCUGGUUUCUCAAGUCAAAUUUGCCUUUCUAUCUGGAUUAGAAAUAACCAUUUUAUUCAUACCAGGUAGAAAUAUUACUUUGAUUUUUUAAAUGAUUGUUUGGUGACAUGUUCCAAGUUCAACUUAAACAUUUCCUGGGUGUUAUAAAUUAGUUCAUUCUCCUCUUGUCUCAAUGGGAAAUGAAACAUUUCCUAAGUCAGCCAUAUAAUACUAACCAGAAGCAGAGUUCUACGAGGCCCAGGCUCGAUGGGAAAGGAAANAUCUCCUGGAGAACGAGAGAAGAUGGUGGAAGAAGCUGCCAAAGCCAAGACUNCUAAGCUUGUCAGAAAAAUUGAACAUAAACUAUUUUUAGUAAGUAUCUAUAUAUUUCUAUAUGAUAGUAAUAGUACUUUGGUGCAACUACAAAUGCUGACUCUUAUGUGAUUAGUUUAAAGUUUCCCUCUAAUAGUGACAUAUUAGGUAAAGUGUAGAUGCCCCUUUUUCAAGCCUUCGUGGAAAACUCAUCCUCAUUGAAAUUUUAUUAGCCUCCCAUUAUACAUACUCACCAAAUUCUACAAAUGAAUUUAUGCUCAGAGACUUUUCCUUCUUGCAUUAACUCACGAAUUUCACCAACUUUUAGGAAUUUACUAAUUUACCAACUGAUAUUUUAUCUUCUCGUUUUUAAAACAG
rnacentral:lncRNA from 1 species